CGGCCUCAAGUAGGUUGGCUGGAAUGGAGCUGCGCACACAGCCGUGUGGACAGCACGGCCUUGGGAGCAGCCCUCACUCAGAGCAGCGCACUGGCCGACCUGUUUACUGAAAGGCCAGGAGAACUUUCGGGACCAGAAGUCUCAGCAACGCCCAAUCUCAUUGCCCACGACAGCCAAGAAUCACAGAUUCAAAUGCUCCGUGAAGGCGGCAGGACGAUGGGUGCAGAGGGAAGGUGCCGAAGGAGCAGAGGCUGCAGGAGAGUGAACUGAAAGCAUUUCUGCCCCCACAUGAAAAGGCAUGGCCCAGGAAGAGUUUAAGACAUAUGCUCAUGGUUGGGAGCUCAUGCAUGCCUGAGCUGGCACUUGAACCCAGAUCUGCCUUGACGUCACCAUGGCAUGGACACAGCGUGGCACAGCCUUCCAGGACUGUGGGGUCCCUGAAGCUUGAAGAAGUUACGUGCAUGAGAAAUAAAUGGAGCCCCCUCUCUCCUAAGGAGCGGUGAAGGAGAAAAACAAGAGUAGCUUAAAAAAUGCUCAGGGCGUGAUCCUGGAGACCCAGGAUCGAGUCCCACAUUGGGCUCCCUGCAUGGAACCUGCUUCUCCCUCUGCCUG